CUCUCCCGCAGCAAACAGGAGGGUCGGUCUCAGCAUGCACCACGGGUAUCUCGUCCUCACUGCCUUCCUGGGGCAACUGCUGGAAACCAUGGGACAGGUGUCCGUCACCCAGCAAGAAGGACAAGUCACCGUGGAGCAGGGAAACACCUUCCAGACCAAUUGCACAUACAAGAUCUCCAACUUUGGAGGCUUGCUCUGGUACCAGCAGAAGAAGGGACAAGCCCCUCAGCUGAUUUCUUCUCAAGCAGGAAAGGGCACCAAGCAGAAGGACCGUUUCACCACGGAGCUGAACACUGACGGGAAACACAGUGUUCUGCGGCUGAAGGAAGUUGAGCUCUCUGACAGCGCCUUGUACCUCUGUGCUGUGAGUGACACCCCGGUGCAGGGAGCUGCCCUGGCUGAGCAACAACCCCGGAUGGGGAGGGGAUGUGUCUGUGCAAGGCAGAGCUCUGGGAUGGGGCCCUCAGCUCUCCCCUGGCUGCACUGCUUCCCCUGUGCACUCCAAGAUCUGACAGCCAUAUUCUCUUUCUCAAACGGGCUGGUGUCUGUGGCUGUGCAGAGAGGGCUAACCUUGACUGGCUGACCUGGACCGCAGGGCUCCACUUUCCUCCCUUCGCGGGCUGCCAGAAUAGGGCAGAGCCUACUGGGAGAUAAGACUCCCUUGGGAACUGGCUCUCAGCCCCUCAGCCCUAGGGUGAGUAAAUUCCUGCCAGCCCAUGAUAAAGCAGCCUGCUUCGAGCCCUGGCCAGCCAAGCCCAGAGACCCCUAGAAGUAGUUCUGACAGAGAUUUGCAGGGUUCUUCUCUCUCUUCAGUGAGUCAGUCAAUAAACUGGAUUUGCAUCCCAGCCACCAGGUUUUCUCCAGACCUUCAGCCAGUUCAUGUCCAAAGCCUGUGCCUAAGGGACAGAACAAAUAGAGCAGCCCUUAGUGCCAAAGACCCAAGAGCUCUCCAA